GACGGGGGAUGCGAGCGUUAUCCGGAAUGAUUGGGCGUAAAGGGUCCGCAGGUGGCCCGGUCAGUCCGCUGUCAAAGCCUGGGGCUCAACCCUGGAGAGGCGGCGGAGACCACCGGGCUUGAGUCCGGUAGGGGCAGAGGGAAUUCCUGGUGUAGCGGUGAAAUGCGUAGAUAUCAGGAAGAACAUCGGUGGCGAAGGCGCUCUGCUGGACCAUAACUGACACUCAGGGACGAAAGCUAGGGGAGCGAAUGGG
rnacentral:rRNA from 1 species